rnacentral:lncRNA from 1 species
AUUUAAUAAAAUAAUUGAUUAAGAACCUACCCAUGGGUGCACAGGGAUCGGUCGAGCCACACUCAGGUAGCCCAUGUAGAUUCUAGUAUCCAUUAAAGAAUUAGUGUAAUUUUUUAAAUUGGAGGUAGAGGCUACUAAUUCAAAUAAAAGAGUGAGAGAAUCUUUAAACUAAAAUCCAUGUCUUUAGGCUUAAUCAAUUCAUAUGCUAAUUAAGUUUUGAUUUUUUUUUUGUAGUUAUGGCCACCACC